rnacentral:rRNA from 1 species
GUCANCAAUUGUGGUGCNAAUNUCGANAAUGCCAUUCUCAGUUCGGAUCGGGGUCUGCAACUCGACCCCGUGAAGUUGGAUUCGCUAGUAAUCGCGUAUCACGCAAUGAUCGCGGUGAAUACGUUUCCCGGGACCUUGUACCAUCACCGCCCCGUACAAGUCCAUGAAAGUCUGGGGGUACGUAAAGUCACGUAAUCCGNAACGGAGCGCUAA